GACUUGACGGCCAGCUUUGUAUCAUGGGCAUCAGGCGGAACACAUGAACGAACAAAUGAAAGGUUCGUUUGCUGUAGGGAGGACAGCAAUCGGGCCGAAGUACCCGGGAGCGGGCCUGGGGUCGACAAUUGGAACACGUAACCGUGCUCACGUUUCCCCUUACGUUACAAAGCUCCCCACGUGCUGAAAAAGGGAUCUCGCUUCUUAAUUGGAGUUCUUCGUGCUUCUUGGCUCCUUUGUCAUCCAAGAUUAAUAUUUAUCUGAAUAAUUAUUUUCAAAUAAGAUAAAAAGCAAUAGUUCAAGCCUGAGCCUUCCAGACACGUGCAGGAAAUUCUGCAGGUUUUUGAAGCCAUUCAUCAAACCCACGCUGGCUUGAGGUGAGUGGGAGGAGUUCCCGAGCUGGACUCAUCCACUGGCUCGCCAUGGUCCACGUGUCCUCGUGCUCGGUGAGUAAGAGAACGGGGGUGGGGGGACUCAGAGUCGCUGGAUGCCUAGUGGACGUGGGGGCUCCCGGGGACGGUUUGUAGGAUGACAUCUCAGGACAUGCCCACCACCAGGAAGUCCAGCUUUCAUGGUUUUGGCCUGGAAAAUUCUUUGUAAUGUGUGAAUUUGAGAAGAUCCUACUCCCGCCCAACACCUCCGAGGAAAGCCUUUCUUCCCUCUUGGCCCACGUUCAAAGCAGUGACCCUUCAUUUGAUGUUUAAUGGCUCUAAAUGGGUUUGUUCAUUAGGGCCGGGCUGAUUGAACCUUUUGCUGGUUUGGAGGAACGUGCCCUUUGCCGAUUUGGCACCUAACCCGCAUCAGGGCUUCUUGUAAAUAUCAUUAAGUGUGUGUCCCCGUGUCGACUUCUCCGUGGAUUGCGCAUAAUUGCACAGUUAACAGCGUAUUUUUCACCUUGCGGAGAAGUACCGGCAUGCACGUUCUAAGAUUUUUAAGGAUAUAUAUAUAUAUUUUUAAGAUACAAACACUCGCUUGGAAGAAUGUUCCAUAUUAGGAGACUAGCCAAGAAGACCUCAUCUCUGGGGAGGUGUUUGAAACCCAAGUUCAGUAAUGAGUUUCAAGUUCAAAGUUGGGCGACUCUUCUUCUCGCUAACGGUGUUGUGCAGCCCCAGGCUCUGCAGGUGGCUGCUACGGCCCCGCUGAACUGGAAGCACCUGUUCCCUUAUGAGAGUGUCAUCCGUCAGCCCCAACUCCACUUGGGGCUCCCGUCUGGGAUGGAAAUAGCAGCGUCCAAACGAUUUCCCCCAUGGUGGAGGCAGGGGAGUGGGGAUCAUCAUCAAAGAACCGGGAUUCUGGCCCAGAAAUUGCCACUUCCUGCCAUCGUGUGCCCAAGCACUUCAUCGCAGAGUCUCGCUUUGCAGAACGGCUCCAAGUGA
rnacentral:lncRNA from 12 species